AGUGAUUUGUGUCAAAGACACACGCUGAUAGACCCUCUUAGCAGAACUCGGGCUGCAAAUCUUACUGGUGAUCUCACUUACUUAAACCAUCUGAGGAAACAGGAGGGCUGGGAGAGAGAAGUCACUGUACAACUCUCUCUGAACAGUGACCAAAUGUUCAACCAGAUGCAUGAGGAAUGGGCUAAAUGCAAACCUCAACUCAACCCUUCUGGAAGAGGAGUAAAGGUUCUGGUGAUACUCAACUAUGAAAAAGAACCCUCCCAAAACCAACAACCAUAGGCUAAAGAAUUUAAUAAGAUGGAGACUUUAUUUAGAAACAACAUGCCUCUCCUGUGAACAGAGAGCUCACUUGGAAAGAAGCUAUGAAUGGACCUGCACAAUUAUUUUCUGGCAAAAACCCAAUCACAUUUGGAGACCUCAGCAGCUGAACACGGAGUGACAGCUGAAAACUCAAACAUGUUACAAAGAUCAGAGACAUUGCUGAAUGCUCCAUUUUGAAGUUUGAUCCAAAGAACCAAUUUAUGUCAUGUUGGUUUUAUUGAAGAGAAGAGCUUUAUUCCAAAGGCUCUUUUAAGCCCACAUCCCCUCUUUGGCUCUUUCGGCCCUUCACGCCCACAGGAUUUCCAAUAUCCCUGGAAGAGAACACAAGUUAUGCUCCCACUCAACAAUCCCACUGGACCACAUGAAGGCUGCAUCCUAACUAAUGGACCUCUUGGAGAAGGAUUUUAUUUGAUAACUUGGUUAAAGAGCCUGAAAUGUUUCAUUAUCAAUUGCUUCAUUGUUGUUGGUAUAGAUUAAUCACCAGUACUUUCAUUCAUUUAUUUAUCUUCUUGAAACUCUGAUUUUCCAAUAGGUACAACUCACUUUUUCUGCUUUAAUUUUCACUAGUUCUCCCAACCAUUAGUUAUAAAGAAUCAUCUAGUUAUGGAGAAAUCACUAACCCUUUGGGAAUCCUGUCCCAUAGCUGAAAUCUACAUUCCUCCAAUUGUCUGGCAAGUUUUAAAGUUGUUAUUUCUUUGUUUGUUUCAACAGAUUUGUCCCUAAUCAUGUGGAAAGGGCUGCUAAAAUACAGAAUGUACUUACUCCAAGUGAGAUUCCCAGUUCACAGAUACAGUAGUAAACCUAAUUUGCAAAUAAGCCACAGUCAUACACAUAAUAUUUCACACACAUAUUAAUAUUGUUAAUAUUAAUAUUAAGCAGUUAUUUGCAAAACAAAUUGGUACAAUUUCUUUAUAAGAUUGUUUUACAGGAUUUUAUCAGCUGUUGCAAGAAAAGAACUGAGCUGCAAAAGGGAUUGGAGUUGUAUCUCAUUACUCUUCCUUAGGGAGGGUAUUGAAUUUGGUUAAAAAUCAGUCCACUCCUUUAGAAAGUAUGUUGCAGAGAGACAAAUGCAAAAUGCCAGAUGGUGGAGUUGAAACAGAGACCUCAUGGAAAUCCGGACACAGACAUGCGCAGAGGGAGAAGGCUAUGUGAGGAAGAAGGCAGUGGUUGGAGUGAUGAUUCUCCAAGCCUAGGAAGGCCAGUGACUGGCAGCAAAGCACCAGAAACGAGGGGAAGAAACAUGGAACCGAUUCCUUCUCAGGCCUCAGGAGGAACCAACCCAGACGAACCUUGAUCUCAGGCUCUAGCCUCUGUUGCAAUAAAACAUUUUAUUGUUGA
rnacentral:lncRNA from 1 species